GACGAACGCUGGCGGCGUGCUUAACACAUGCAAGUCGAACGGAAAGGCCCUGCUUUUGUGGUGUGCUCGAGUGGCGAACGGGUGAGUAACACGUGAGUAACCUGCCCUUGACUUUGGGAUAACUUCAGGAAACUGGGGCUAAUACCGGAUAGGAGCUCCUGCUGCAUGGUGGGGGUUGGAAAGUUUCGGCGGUUGGGGAUGGACUCGCGGCUGAUCAGCUUGUUGGUGGGGUAGUGGCUUACCAAGGCUUUGACGGGUAGCCGGCCUGGGAGGGGGAGCGGGCACAUGGGGACUGAGAUAGGGCCCAGACUCAUACGGGAGGCAGAAGUAGGGAAUAUUGCACAAGGGGAGGAAGCCUGAUGCAGAAACGCCGCGUGCGGGAUGACGGCCUGCGGGUUGUAAACCGCUUUCGCCUGUGACGAAGCGUGAGUGACGGUAAUGGGUAAAGAAGCACCGGCUAACUACGUG
rnacentral:rRNA from 1 species